CGUGUACUCCUGCUCCGUCUCAGUCAGCUCCAAGGACUUCUGGCAAACAGCCCUGGUCUUGGCACUGUUGGGGUCAUCAUUGGGUAUUUUCUCAAUAAUCUGUGGAUCAGAAGAUUAAAAGAAUUGUGACUGAUUAAACCAACAAGGGUGAUAAGUCUAGGAAACUGAAAUACAUUUGUCAAACAAGAACAGAAGCUAGGAACUGCAAGGGAUUGCUGGAAAAUCACUUCACCGAACAAAUGACUUAGAUGUGGGAGCAGUGCUGUGAUGACACGUGCAAACAAAAAUCUUCUUCCCAGCUUUAGGUGGUAGGCCACACCAAAUAUCCCAAGGCCACUACUACUUACUACUUUAGGCCAAAAUAUUCUCUUGUCGUUAUAGUCUUCCAAGUAGUCUCUGAUGAUGUUGGUCUUCUGCAGGAACAGGCCGAGGUCGUUGGCCAGCUGGGUGUCUUGGCCAACUAUGGGUUCUUCAAGACCUGACGUGGAGAACAGUCUGGCCAGCCCAAUGCCCACUAGACCAGCAACAUAGUGGCAAUACUGGGAAAGAAAAUAUUGUAAAAGAUAAAUGUCAGCAGUACUCCGCCGUCUCCUCCUCGCUCUAGAAACUUCGGCUUCUUUGACAAGACAAUAACUUGAGAAGCAUUGUUACAAAUGUUAAACAACAGGUGAGCACAAAUGUGAUAGUUCUGGACAACCAUUUUUGUUUCUCUUUAAUUUUUCCAGUUUUAAACAGUUCAAUCCUGAGCAAAAAGAAUGUAACUAAAAAACAAAACAAAAUAUUUACAUUUUUUUUUUAAUUAACAUGAUGUGAAAAAAAAAAAAAAAAACACUUAAAAAUAAAACAUUAUGUCUAGUUUGAAAAAAUUCAGAAUUUUAAUACCUUCAUUACAAAACAAGUUUGAAAGACGAACAAAUUUUUAUUCCCUGUAUUAAAAACACUAUCAUUUCCAAAAUUAAAUUAAAAAAGUAAGACACAACUGGUUUUCACUUUUAAAAAAAAUUAAGUGCUCCCUUUCUCAUUAAGCUUGGAAUGAGCAUUUUGUAAACAAAAGUUUGAAAGACUGCUGGCAAAUUUCUGUCACAUCAAACCACAUUAGUGGGCUGCCCUAAACACAGCAAUCUAUUGCAAUAGGAAGUUAUUGGGCUAUUGUGGUACUGUUCUAAGAAGGACAGAUUUAAAAUGCCAAUCUGCAGUCAAAAAUAUUCUAAAUGCCAAUCUGAAGGCAAAAAUAUUCUAUCUUCCUUUCUUAUAUCUACAUCUUAGGAGAUGUGUGUUUUCAAAUUUAAAAAGAAAAAAUCCAUACACAUUGGAAACUUUCCAGGACACAUCUGUCUUUGUCUUUACUGUCCAUGUACUUCCAGUCUGGAUCCUGCAGGUUUUUAUAGAAAGAUUUCAACAUUGGUAUUUUGAUAUCGAUGGGAAUGGUCAUGUCAUCUUCAACUGUAUCCAGGGCCCGCAGAACAAGGUAAAAUAUGCAGACAGCAUUUCUGGCAAAAAAAGAUGAACAUAAUUAGUUAUAUUUAUGUUCAUUAAUAGAAACAUAAAAAAAAAAACAGUGUGGUAGAACAGCAAAUAAAAAAAAAAAUGAUACAAUUUCAUGCUUAAACCAUGCUGUGGAACAAUAUAGAUCUAUGUGAUAAAUGAAUUUAAAUACUUCAAAACUGGUCAAUUUCAGAAUUCUAAGUAUUUUCAAGUAUUUAAGUAACAUCUCAUUUUAUCUGUCCUUUGACUUUUGUCAUAGUGGUGCUGUGACAGUUCUCAUAACCAAAAUCCCUCCACUUUUCCUGGUCAGCAGCUGUCAUAUUAGAUAUCAAGUGAGAGGCCAGUUCAAUCUUUUACAUUGUCAAGCCAGUUUUUGUUUUGCAUGACAAUGUCUUUCAAGCUUUUUCUCCUAUGUACCUUGAAGGAUGACAUUCGACAGUGAGUCAUGUACAAUAUGACCAAACCAGCUCAGCUUUCAUCUUUUUACAGAACUGAGGUGUUCCUCCAUUCUGCCAGCCAGAGUGUAACAGAACAAUCUCAUUUGUCUUUAUUUCCUGGUAUCUGAUACCCAACAUUUUGUUGUAGCAUUUACUCUCAAAGUUUUGAAUUCUUCUUUCAGCCUCAGCUUUCGACUGUCCAACUUUCACAACCAUAUAGGAGUACAGAGAUCACUAGAGAAUAAUACAGUUUUAAUUUUACUAUAACUUGGAAGCUGAUGUUACUCUUAUAGAUUUUCCACGGUUUGCUCAUGGCAGUAAAUGCCAUGCAUGCUUAAAUGAGUUUUAAUCUCUUUUAUUGAUCUUCCAUCUUUUUUUAUGUUAGACCCUAGGUAUUUAAACGAUUCAAUUUCUAAUUUUUAGCCAUUUGACUGUACAAUCUCCACCAUUUAAGUAACAGACUUAUGCUUAUUUUUGAUGAUAUUUUGAAACGUUUUUUCUAAUUUGCUAAAAAGUUAUUUUUAAUUUUGUUUGUUUUGGGACUCCUGACUUUGUGUUUCAUGGUGACAAAUAAAUCACUCCAAAGUUUCAUUUCAUUUCAUUAGAAGAAGCUACGACAGAAUAAAGCUGUAUAGUUCGGAACAGCCAGCAUGCAUUUUCAUUGUAAUGAAAUAGUGACAAUGUUGAGCAUAUAAUUUAAAAGAAAGGAAAUGGAGAGAACAUGAUCAUUGACCGUAUGUUAUCCAUAUUUCAGCCUUGAAACCCGGACUAAGACCUUCUUUCAGGAACAGUACCAGUAAAAAGAAGUAGAGGUAGACAGAGAUAGCGAUGGGAAGACAAUAUAAAAGAAUGGACGGGCCAGCCAUUGAAAGAGUUUCUAACUAAGGCAAAAAAACAAAGAGGAAUGGAGAAAGACAGUCGACAAAUUUUGCAAGGUGCCCCAACGGUCCAACAGACUAAGGGAUUGGUAAAUGUAAAAAUUGCAUUACUAUAAUAUGUAGACACCAAAGUUAGAGUGUAACUUACCGUAGCU